AUAUCUGUGGUUCAGUGGUAGGAUGGCCGGUUGCCAUGCGGGCGAGCCGGGUUCGAUUCCCGGCUGACGCA
rnacentral:tRNA from 1 species